rnacentral:rRNA from 1 species
UGUCUGAACGUUACACAAACUAGUUAGCCUCGGCGGGAUCUCUGCCCCGGGUGCGUCGCAGCCCCGGACCAAGGCGCCCGCCGGAGGACCAACCAAAACUCUUAUUGUAUACCCCCUCGCGGGUUUUUUUAUAAUCUGAGCCUUCUCGGCGCCUCUCGUAGGCGUUUCGAAAAUGAAUCAAAACUUUCAACAACGGAUCUCUUGGUUCUGGCAUCGAUGAAGAACGCAGCGAAAUGCGAUAAGUAAUGUGAAUUGCAGAAUUCAGUGAAUCAUCGAAUCUUUGAACGCACAUUGCGCCCGCCAGUAUUCUGGCGGGCAUGCCUGUCCGAGCGUCAUUUCAACCCUCGAACCCCUCCGGGGGGUCGGCGUUGGGGAUCGGCCCUGCCUUGGCGGUGGCCGUCUCCGAAAUACAGUGGCGGUCUCGCCGCAGCCUCUCCUGCGCAGUAGUUUGCACACUCGCAUCGGGAGCGCGGCGCGUCCACAGCCGUUAAACACCCAACUUCUGAAAUGUGACCUCGGAUCAGGUAGGAAACCCGCGAACUA